ensembl:lncRNA
CUUGGUUGUAGCCUUCAGUUUCACCUGUGAAGACUGCAUUUUUUGUUAAAAAGGAUUAGCCAACAUAAAGAUAAGAGAGCUGUCUAUGGGAGUCAAGCAAGCCAUUUUGAAGCUGAGAAAAGAGGGAAUUAGAGUCAUUCGACAAACAUUGGGUAUAGCCAGUACAACAAUUUGGAAUGUCCUGAAAAAGAAAGACACCACUGGUGUACUGAGCAACAGACACCGUAAUGGGUCGGCCAAGGAAAACAACAACAGCUGAUAACAGAAAUAUUGUGAGAGCUGUGAAGAAAAACCCAAAAUCAAGAGUCAGUGACAUCACCAAAAACUUCCACAGGGCAUAGGUCAAGAUAUCACAAUCCACCAUUCGAAGAAGACUAGAAGAGCAGAAGUAUAGACUGCAGGGAGAAACCCCCUGAAACAAACAAGAUGUGAAAGAGUCUGUGGUAAAAGCCUGGAAAAGCAUCACAAAAGAAGAAACCAACAAUUUGGUGAUGUCAAUAAGUCUCAAGCUUGAUGCAGUUACUGCGGGGAGCCUGGCGGAAAGCCUGGAACCUAUCCCAGGGGACUUGGGGCACAAUGUUGGGGACACCCUAGACAGGGUGCAAACCCAUCGCAGGGCACUAUUCACACUCUACUGACAAUUUCGAGAUUGUCCAAUCAGCCUACAAAUGCCUGUCUUUGGACUGGAGGAGGAAACCCCUGAAGCACACAGAGCAGAGACCUGAUCGAGAACUUGCAAAUGCCUUGGUAGAAGAGUGGAGUAACAGCUCACAGCAAGAACUGACAAAUCUGGUGCAGUCCAUGAGGAUGAGAUGCACUGUAGUACAUAAAGCAGCUGGUGGACACCAGAUACUGACUGUUACUUUUGAUAUUGACCCCGCUUUGUUCAGGGACUCAUUAUUCCAUUUCUGUUUGUCAAAUGUCUGUGAAACUUGUUCAGUUUAUGUCUCAGUUGUUGAAUGUUUUUAUAUUAAUACAAAUAAUUAUGCAUGUUAAGAGAUUUGCUGGAAAUAAAAGCAGUUGUAUGUGCGAGGACAUUUCUUUAUUUGCUGAGUAUAUAACAUAUGUAGCCACAAAAAAUAAGUCUACCGAGUCGAUUCUGCUAAUUAUUAUUUACAGACCCUCAGGGCCUGACUUCCUUGAUGAAUUUGCAGAUUACAUGUUCAACCUGGUUGUUUCUUUAGACAAAGCAUUAAUUGUUGGCGACUUUAAUAUUCAUUUUGAUAACCCGGAAGACCCCCUGAAAACAGCAAUUGUGUCCAUUCUAGUUUUAGUAGGGGUCAAUAAGAUAAGCAUAAUAAGUAAUAGGACCCACUCAUAAUGGUGGUCACACU